rnacentral:rRNA from 1 species
GACGAACGCUGGCGGCGUGCCUAAUACAUGCAAGUAGAACGCUGAGGAGAGGAGCUUGCUCUUCUUGGAUGAGUUGCGAACGGGUGAGUAACGCGUAGGUAACCUGCCUUGUAGCGGGGGAUAACUAUUGGAAACGAUAGCUAAUACCGCAUAACAAUGGAUGACACAUGUCAUUUAUUUGAAAGGGGCAAUUGUUCCACUACAAGAUGGACCUGCGUUGUAUUAGCUAGUAGGUGAGGUAAUGGCUCACCUAGGCGACGAUACAUAGCCGACCUGAGAGGGUGAUCGGCCACACUGGGACUGAGACACGGCCCAGACUCCUACGGGAGGCAGCAGUAGGGAAUCUUCGGCAAUGGGGGCAACCCUGACCGAGCAACGCCGCGUGAGUGAAGAAGGUUUUCGGAUCGUAAAGCUCUGUUGUAAGUCAAGAACGGGUGUGAGAGUGGAAAGUUCACACUGUGACGGUAGCUUACCAGAAAGGGACGGCUAACUACGUG